AGUGAACGCUGGCGGUAGGCCUAACACAUGCAAGUCGAACGGCAGCACAGUAAGAGCUUGCUCUUACGGGUGGCGAGUGGCGGACGGGUGAGGAAUACAUCGGAAUCUACUUUUUCGUGGGGGAUAACGUAGGGAAACUUACGCUAAUACCGCAUACGACCUACGGGUGAAAGCAGGGGAUCUUCGGACCUUGCGCGAUUGAAUGAGCCGAUGUCGGAUUAGCUAGUUGGCGGGGUAAAGGCCCACCAAGGCGACGAUCCGUAGCUGGUCUGAGAGGAUGAUCAGCCACACUGGAACUGAGACACGGUCCAGACUCCUACGGGAGGCAGCAGUGGGGAAUAUUGGACAAUGGGCGCAAGCAUGAUCCAGCCAUACCGCGUGGGUGAAGAAGGCCUUCGGGUUGUAAAGCCCUUUUGUUGGGAAAGAAAAGCAGCAGGUUAAUACCCCGCUGUUCUGACGGUACCCAAAGAAGAAGCACCGGCUAACUUCGUG
rnacentral:rRNA from 1 species